rnacentral:rRNA from 1 species
GCGUGCUUCACACAUAGCAAGUCGAACGGAGUUUAUUUUUGAAGCUUGUUUUUAGAAUUACUUAGUGGCGGACUGGUGAGUAACGCGUGAGUAAUCUGCCUAUCACAGGGGGAUAACAGGAGGGAAACUUUCUGACUAAUACCGCAUAAGACCACAGGAUGGCAUCAUCAAGGGGUCAAAGGUUAGAUCUGGUGAUAGAUGAGCUUGCGUAUCAUUAGCUAGUUGGUGAGGGGUAAAGGCCCCACCAAGGCGACGAUGAUUAGCCGAUCUGAGAGGAUGACCGGCCACACUGGGACUGAGAUACGGCCCAGACUCCUACGGGAGGCAGGCAGUUUAGGAAUAUUGGGCAAUGGAGGAAACUCUGACCCAGCAACGCCGCGUGAAGGUAAGAAGGUUUUCGGACUGUAAACUUCUGAUCUAAGGGAAAAAGAAAGUGAUGGUACCUUAGGAGAAAGCCACGGCUAACUACGUGCCAGCAGCCGCGGUAA